AUAACGUUCGGAAACGGACGCUAAUACCGCAUACGUCCUACGGGAGAAAGCAGGGGACCUUCGGGCCUUGCGCUAUCAGAUGAGCCUAGGUCGGAUUAGCUAGUUGGUGAGGUAAUGGCUCACCAAGGCGACGAUCCGUAACUGGUCUGAGAGGAUGAUCAGUCACACUGGAACUGAGACACGGUCCAGACUCCUACGGGAGGCAGCAGUGGGGAAUAUUGGACAAUGGGCGAAAGCCUGAUCCAGCCAUGCCGCGUGUGUGAAGAAGGUCUUCGGAUUGUAAAGCACUUUAAGUUGGGAGGAAGGGUUGUAGAUUAAUACUCUGCAAUUUUGACGUUACCGACAGAAUAAGCACCGGCUAACUCUGUGCCAGCAGCCGCGGUAAUACAGAGGGUGCAAGCGUUAAUCGGAAUUACUGGGCGUAAAGCGCGCGUAGGUGGUUUGUUAAGUUGGAUGUGAAAUCCCCGGGCUCAACCUGGGAACUGCAUUCAAACCUGACUGACUAGAGUAUGGUAGAGGGUGGUGGAAUUUCCUGUGUAGCG
rnacentral:rRNA from 1 species